rnacentral:rRNA from 1 species
UACGGAGGGGGGCUAGCGUUGUUCGGAAUUACUGGGCGUAAAGCGCACGUAGGUGGCUUUGUAAGUUAGAGGUGAAAGCCCGGGGCUCAACUCCGGAAUUGCCUUUAAGACUGCAUCGCUAGAACGUCGGAGAGGUAAGUGGAAUUCCGAGUGUAGAGGUGAAAUUCGUAGAUAUUCGGAAGAACACCAGUGGCGAAGGCGACUUACUGGACGACUGUUGACACUGAGGUGCGAAAGCGUGGGGAGCAAACAGG